rnacentral:rRNA from 1 species
UACGUAGGUGGCAAGCGUUGUCCGGAUUUACUGGGCGUAAAGAGCGCGCAGGCGGUCGUUCAAGUCGCGUGUGAAAGCCCCCGGCUCAACUGGGGAGGGUCACGCGAUACUGAUCGACUCGAAGGCAGGAGAGGGUAGUGGAAUUCCCGGUGUAGUGGUGAAAUGCGUAGAUAUCAGGAGGAACCCCCGAGGCGAAGCCGGCUCUCUGGGUCGUACCUGACGCUGAGGCGCGAAAGCGUGGGGAGCGAACGGG